AGAACGAACGUUAGCGGCGCGCCUAACACAUGCAAGUCGCACGAGAAAGGGCUUCGGCCCCGGUACAGUGGCGCACGGGUGAGUAACACGUAGAUCAUCUCCCCUCGAGUGGUGGAUAACUCUCCGAAAGGAGAGCUAAUACAGCAUGAGACCACGGCUUCGUUGAAGCUGCGGCCAAAGCAGGCCUCACACGUAAGCUUGCGCUUGAGGAUGAGUCUGCCGGCCCAUCGAGCUUAGUUGGGUAAGGGUAAUCGGCCUACCAAGGCCUAAGGACGGGUAGCUGGUCUGGAGAGGUAUAGGAACCAGCCACACGUAGGAACUGAGACCACGGUCCAG
rnacentral:rRNA from 1 species